GAUGUUGAGAAAUGUUUUGGCGGAACAGAUUCUCCAAUUUUGGAAACACAAUUUCAUUCUUUUGUUUUCACUUUCGAAAAUAAUUUGUGAAAACAUUUCCAAAAAAUGGUGCCGAACUUUUCUACAUUGAUAGGGAAAACAACCUUAAUGAUAGUGUUUGGUCUACUUUUUACUCAGAUUAUAGGUAAAGACUCUCGCUCCUAAUUAUAUGUGUUUGACUUGGUUUAGAUCUUCCAUGCACUGUUUUGUCUAAUAAAUUGAAGUGCUAAAAAGAGCAUUUUAAUUUUUUAAUUUUUUAAUUUUUAUUUUUUUUUGAGGCGGCUUAUAAAUGUCAGAGAUGGCCCCCUUGAUACUUCAACAAACCUUGCAACUCAGGUAAAUCAUGUACGAAUAUAUUCGUUAAUUUUUUUCUCUCACGUAUGAUUAAGUAUGUAGGUUGACACUUGAACAACCUUCUAUUUCUAGAGUUUUCGCUCAGCUAACCAUUUUAUUUGUUAUCAAAUGACUGACAUUUAGAAAAUCCAGUAGUUAUUCGUUAGUCCCUUUUAGCAAAUGUUAGUUGGACUCAGUUUCUGUUUAUAACCUUCUAUUCUCUAGUAGUUAAUUAGCUUUACCCUUCUCCUUUAUAUCAACUUUCCUUCCCCCAUUUCUUCAUACCCAUCUCUCUUUCUCCCCGAAACCCUAGUAAGCUGGAUUAUUGCAUCACAAGCAUAAGUUUCUAUUAACCAUGGAUUCUAAUAGAACAGCACAGCGCUCAGCCACAAUGCCACUACUCCCAGUUUCAUACAACCCUUCAAUUUCAAACCCCAACAUAUCUCUGUCUAUCACAUCUCGAUUCACUGCGAAACUAGUACUUCUCCACCGGAUUUUGUUGUUCGUGUUAGGGAUCGUCACGUUGCUAUGCGUAGCCAUGGCCACAUCCUUAGUUCCACAGCCCCCGAAAAUCAAACUCAACUCUCUCUUGGUGUCGAAAAUUAACGUCUCAAACACAAAGCUAGGGGCCAACUUUGACGUGGCCUUCACAAUAGAGAACCCUAAUCUAGUCUCGUGGAUUUACUUUGACCACAUCGAUGGUUCGAUUUCUUACAAAGAUAACGCUCUCAUAACAUACUCGUUGGACCCUUUUGUACUGGGAUUGAAGGAACAUAGAAUGAUGCGUGUGAAGAUAUCCGUGAAUGGAUUACAGGAAGAUCAGCCGGUUGUGAAGGAGAGGGUUUUGGAAGAAAUCCAUAGGCAACGUGAAGAUGGUGCUGUGAAUUUCAGCCUGGAAAUGUUUGCACGGGCUACGUAUAGGACCGGUUGGUGGGGGACAAAGUCUGUUUUAAUGAACCCUCAAUGUUUGGAUUUGAGGGUUGGCUUCUUGCCUAAAGUUGGUUUCGGAAGCUGGAUUAGUGGAGGGCCUAUGACUUGCGCAGUUCCAAUGCUAAUUGAUGACUAAAUUUGAAUUUCUUUUCCCUUUUUCAAGUUACCUAGCUAGGCUUUUUGGUUUUAGUUACAAGGGAGCCUAAAUUAAGCCUUUUAAUUGGAGGUUGUAAUGUAAUGUUACUAUCUAGUAGGAUCUUGCAAAUUAAAAGUAGAGUUGAGCUUUGUUUCCAACGGGCACUAAAAAAAAAUCAGCAAUAGUCACCUUUUUUUUCCGUGACUUUUGAAAGCAUUGGUCACCUUUAUUGGUAACUAAAAGCUUUAGUAACGAUGCAGCUACAAAUUUUGAGUUGGUGAGAUUUGUGACCAUUACUAUUGGCCUUUAUCACCAUUAAUAAAGAAAGUGACAAACAAAAUGUUGACUUUUCAGUUACCUUUACACUUAUAUUUUUUUAUUUUUUUUAUCUUUAAUUAGUUUAAUAAUUUUCUGAAUUAUAUAUGUUUUAAAUAAUUACAAUUUCCUUUUGAUAUACUUUAAUGGCAUAAUAACAAUAAUUCCUUUUUUUUCUUUUUUUUCUGAUAAGAUAAUAAUAAUAAUUCCUUGAUAAUGCACUUCAUGUGUAAAAGAGGCCUCUAAUAUUAUUAUUUAAUUAAAUAUAAAUACUCAAUUGAUACAUAAUGGUAAUUAAGUAGUACAAUAUUUUCCUAAUGAAUACAAAAUUUGUACAAUCCUAUGCAAACAAUAAUACAUACACGCCUAAGAAGACCUGUAGCUAGUACUUUCUAAUCCAAGCACUCCUCCGAUCCUACCAUACAAACGAAUGAAGCAACUGAAGUGUCCUCCAUUCCUGCAAUUGAAGUGUCCACCAUUCCUGUAAGUAAAUCCAAAUGACAAAGAAUGAAAUUAAAGAGUCCCAAGUACUAGAAGUUAGUAGAUAUUCAAGCUUAAGGAAUUACAACCUCACCCUCUUCUUUUGUAGUUGGUAGCAUUAAACGUUCAUUUGUCUAUGGUGAAGGGAUCUGAUCAUUGUUUGUAGUGAACUAAUAGUAGUUCACAUAUCAUAGUUCAAGAAGAAGUUAGAGGUAGAGCAAGGGCAUAGUUCAAAUAGGGAAAGAAAGAGAAAAGGGAAGAUCAAAAUAAAAUAAAAUCUAAGAAAAUAAAAAUCUUGUAGUAAUCUAAAUGAAUAACCCCAACCCACCAAUGUUCAAGGGAAGAGAAACUCAGAUAAAAUAACAUCUUUACAACUCAGAAAUAGAAAAGGUGAAUUACAAAGAGUAUAUUAAUAAAAUAGAAUAAAUUUAAACGGACCUGGGAAUAGAGGUGCCUCUAGCAAUUCCACUGCCCCUGCAGAACUUGAUCUUCCUACAUCAUAGAAUAUCAAAGAAUAUAUUAAUAUAUAAAAAAGUAGAAAGAAAAAAACUUAUACAUAAAACAAAAUACAAGGAAAGUCAUGACUGAAGCAAGCCCUACUCUAGCUCUCAGAUCUGAGAUAUAACAUCUCAUAUUUGAGAUUUAAUCUAAAAGGACCUCCCAGAGCCAAAGAAACUCGCUAGAAAAACUAGGGAGAAAUAACAAACUCUGUCAAAAGCAAGGAGAUAACCAAAAAAAAUGGAGGGAUCGGGGUGAAAACCACCGGAUCUAAAAAGAAAAAAGGGGUUGCUGGGUUGUUUUGAGAGAGAAGAGCUUAUAAAAGAAAAGGGGUUGCUGGGUUGUUUUGGGUUGUCAAAAGCAAGCCCUUUAGAAAUUCAACUAGAUCAAGUAAUCUCACACUUUAAAGAAAAUGGGUUACUUUAAUGGUUAACCAAUGUAAUAUUUAAUUCUUUUUUUAUACGUAUUUCCAUUUUUAAUGUGUUCUAUACAUAUUUAAUUGGAUUACUAUUCUCAAGGAAGAUUAUCCUCAAAUAUUAUAUUUAACAAAUUACUGCUAUGUGUCAGUUGGUUUACAUUUAUUAUAUUUAAAUCAAUAGUCACCAAUUCUUUAAAGUGUGAGAUAAUUAGUCACAAAUAAUGGUGACUAGUAACCAAAGUCAUUAAUCACCCAUUCAAAUGUCACCAAAACUAUUUUGUUGCUAUAAAAAUGUGACUAAUGCUUUCUUUUUUUGUAGUGGGGAAUCUAUCAAAAUAGAAGUAAAGUUAUAUACGUACAAAUAUUUUGGUGAUAUUGUCUCAUGGAAGACGCAUAAAACCAUGUCUCUGUGAAAUUUUUAGAUGCUUGUAAAAAGCCUCUUCUACGUGGAUGUAUUACCUAAACUUGAUCGAGGACACUUUUUAUUCACAUACUAAGAAAUAUUUUAACUAGAUGCCUUCAAAAUAUAGUUAACUAAAUAGAGGCCUUCACUACACAUGCCAAAAUUUAAAAAGGAACAGAUGGAUUUGUGGAAUUUGGACAUCUAAUUCUAUUAUAUUUGUUUCUGUAUAAGCACUACAAGUUUGAAAUUGGCACAAUAAACUUUAGAUGAACUCUCAAAAUGAAACCGUUUUUGGGGUGUUUUGUUGUGCACUCUAGCGAUGUGGAAAUACUCGCUUGACCUAGUUUGAUGUCGAAUUACUUGGAAGUAAAUAGCUUUGAAGAAAGUUGAGGUUGAAACUUAAGUUUGGAUACUUCAUAAAGAAAUUUGGCUUUAAAAUGACUAUGGGUGCUUAAAAUCCAAUCAAAAUGGCCUAAACUGACUAAUCCAGUCCAAUCAAAUGCACUUUUGAUCAUUUUGAAGGCCUUAGGCAGGUUGAAUAUAGAUAGUUGUGUUCAUACUUUUUUGCUCUCAUACACGUGCGAUUGAAUAAAUUUUGAUUAAUUUUAAGUCAAUCAAAGUUAUGUUUAGUCCAUUUGAGAUCCUGUAGGGGCUUUUUCUUUUCGGCAGCUACUGUGGGCCUAGGCUGCUGUAAAGAGCUAAAUGUGUAAAAAUUGUCUCUGGGUCUGAGUUCAAGAAUUAGGCCCCGAGAAUGCUUCGAAAGGGUAGCUAAGCCUUAGGAAGCACCUUGGUUACCUUCACUAACAAAACUAACAGUUACUUACAGAUAAAUUCUUAGCUUUGACAUGAUAGACUUGUGGUAUGGAAGCAAAGCAAUCAUGAGUUUAGCAUUGAAGAGAGAGAGAGUUGUGAGUUCAUAUGAGAAACAUGGGUUCUAAGGAGAAGGGGAAGGGAUUCUAAGUGGGUUUUUUGAAGAGAGAGAGGGAUGAGGGUAUAUUAGGUGUGUUGAGUAGUUUCCGGCAGCUCGAUGAAAACUCUGUCAAACUUUGGAACAGUUUACCAAAAGGAAAAAUGGGGAGAGAUGGAAGGAGAUGAGGCUCGAAAUUGCAGAGGUUUCAGAGGUGAGAGAUAAAACUUGCUUUCCAGAUAUGUGUUGUUUGGGAUAAAGAAGAAGGAGAUAGAAGGUGAGGCACUUGGGCUUGAUGUUUCCAGCAGUUGGAGAAUAAGCUUGCUCAACUGCUCUGGUUGAGUUUAAUGAGUAGGAGGUACCUUCUUUUAUAGCCGCUAGAAGCUCCUCCUUCUCAAGAAACCCUAAUGGGUUCUCUCCAAUUUUGCCAAGUCUCCCCUUUCACCCCUUUCAUUUCUCUUCUCUCCCUUCGAUCCAUCCCAUUUUGUGAAAUUCUCUUCUGCCCAAUACUUUAUCAGAUUUUUGGGAAUUCAGAAGUUUUCCCGCAGCCAUUCCAGUGGUGAUUUCUUAUUUUUGGCUAUCAUCUCUCAUCCUUUCCUCCCUUAUUUCAUGGCAAGAUCUGGUAAAGGAAGGAGAUAGGUAAAUUUGGCUAGUCUGAAGGCUGCCUUUUCUCUUGCGCGCACCAAUAUCCUCUGGUUUUUUGAGCGAUCUGCCUUAAGGUUUGUUUUGCCCACUUGCUAGAGCCUCCCAGCAGUUCACAUACAUGGGCAACUUUGGCUUUUGUCUUGGCUUUUGUCUCCAGCUAAGUGAUGGAGAUUGCAGAUAUUUUGCUUGGUUGCUUGGGCCUUCCUAAGGUGAUGGGUUAACCCAUUAAGGGAAUGGGCUAAUUUCCUAAAGUGAUAGGCUAUUUUAUUGAGAUGAUGGGCUAAUUUUUCCUAAAAUAUUGGGCUAUUUCUCUCCUUUAUUCUUACCCACAUAUUUGAGCUCAAGAAAUGGGCUUGAGUUUUAGGGCUCUCAAGCAACCCAAAACUUCCAUUUCUCGGCUCAUCAAUAAGCCUCAUGAAAGCUCAUUACCAUCCAUACCACAACCCACUCAGCAAGCCCCGAGCAUUUUUCAUGGCUUGGGCCCACUUAAACUUGUAGCGUGGCUAGGUAAAUAAUAAUGAUUUUUCGCUUGGCAUUGCAUAUCGUUUGGCAUGCUUGAAUUUUGUCGCUUUGAAGAGGGAUAUGAAGCUUGACAGGAUAAUUAGCUUGGGGUCGUAAAGCCAGUGCUUAUUUCAACUCUUAGCAUGACAGAUUACAUAUUUAUUUGGCAUGGCACGUGGAUCAUGACUCGUGCAAGCGUGAAUGACAAACCUUCGCGUGCUCCAAAUCAGGUCUUUUUUUUAAUAAAGCAUUGCUUUGGGUCGGAAAUUUAUUUGGGUCAACCCUGAAUUUUUUGGGCCUCAACAGAUCCAAAACACUCUUACUUACAAUUUAAUUUUUACUUCACAUUCAUUUAUAUAUAUGUAAUUUGAUUAGAUAAUAUAUUGAAUGCUACGUCACCAAUUAAUUUAUCAAUAUUCACUCGUCACAUCAUAUUUAUUUUUAACAUCCUCAACUUUCUAAUUUAGUAUUUGUGGUAAUUCAAGAGCCACCGCAACAAUUUCGUCCCAGCAUCACGCUGCUGCCACCACCUGCCACUCCCCAACGGUUAACCAAACAAUGUAUAAGUUCAGGUUAUGAACCGUUGCGAAAUCACCGUGAAUUAACUUCAUUUGCUUUAACUAAUGAUGUUUAAUGGAUAUCACUAUUCAAGCAAACUAACAGUUUUAUCGGUUAUCAAAUUAAUGAAGUUUAGAAAUCUUCUUUCGCAUGUUUGUUAGAAUCUAGUUAUUCAGGUUUUUAACCGUUUUUGGUAGUUAUUUAGUUUUUUUUUAACAAUCUCUAGUGGUUUACAGUUUCCAUGGCCUUCUACUUUAUAUCCCAACUCUCUCACACAUUUCCACAAACCCAUCUCUCUUUCUCUCUCAAUUUCCUAUCAUCAGCCGUGGAAAUUAAUGCAAAAGCUGAUCAGCACUCAGCUACCAUGCCCCUACUCCCAGUUUCAUAUAGCCCGUCAAACGACAACGUUUCGCAGUCUGUUAAAUCAAGACGCAUUUCCAAAUUAUCCGUCUUCCAACCCAUUAUUCUAUUAUCACCUACAUUAUUAAUAUUUGGGACCUUGGCAUUGCUGUGCAUUUUCAUGUCCUUAUUGUCCCAAGUUCAUCCACAAGCCCCAAAUGUCCAACUAAACUCGCUCUUCAUGUCCAAAUUUAACAUCUCCAACACAACAUUGGGGGCUAAUUGGGACAUGACCCUUACAAUAGACAACCCCAACCUGCUCACAUGGGUUCGUUUCAACCACAUCAAGGGUUCAAUGUCGUACAAAGAUAACAUCCUCGCGAUAAGCUCCAUCGAGCCAUUCAUGUUGGGAUUGAAGGAACGAAGAACGGUGAGGGUGAAGAUAUCGACGAUGGGGUUGGGGGAAGAGGAUCGUGAUCAUCAGCUGGUGGUGAAGAAGAGGGUUUUGGAUGAGAUGAUGAGCAAGAGACGUGAGGAUGGAGCUGUGCAUUUUAGCAUGCAAAUGUUUGUUUGGGCCACGUAUAGGACUGGUUUGUGGGGGACACAACAAGAUGUUGUGAUGAGCCCUCAGUGUUUGGAUUUGAAGGUUGGGUUCUCGCGUGGAAUUGGGUUCGGGAGUGGGAUUAGUGGAGGGCCUAUGAUGUGUUCUGUUCCUAUAUUAAUUAAUUGACCAAAUUAGACUUUUUCUUUCUUUUUUCAUGUAGAGGUUUUUAGUUUUAGAUUGUUAAUUUGAUCGAUGUAGGAGAAUCAAAAUCGAACCUGUAAAUUAAGAACAAAGAAAUGAAUUGUUUUACGCAUCAAAAUUGAAGGUGAAUAUGAACGUGAUGUUAUGAAAUUCUUUGAUGAUCUUUGUCUGGACUUGGAUAAAUAAAAAAGUGUAUACUAGUGAUUUAUCUUAUGAAUUUGUACUUAACUUUUGAUUUGCCCUAUCUUUUUUUUUAAAGAAAAUUAAGGAUAUAAACUUUUUUUUUCCGUCAAUUUCUCCCUUACCGUCUAAAUCCACAACAUUUCAUCUAAUUUGUCGUUAAAUAUGAGGGCAAAUUGGUCAUGUUGUACUUCUAAAAUAAAAUAAUUUGAACUUUGAAAUAAUAAUAAAUAAUGAUAGGAAAAAAAAAGGUUUUUUUUUUUUUUUUUUUUUUAAGAGUAGAGAAAAUGUCAUCCUCAGACUUCCUAUUAGCCUCUGAAUUUCUGCUUACCAACUCCACUUCCUAUAAGCUUCAUACCAACCCCUUUCUUCCCCAAAAUUGAACACAUCCCAUACAACAACACCAAAACCUCCACCAUAUAUUUGAACAAAAUCCCCCAUAUGUACUUAUUUGAACACACACAAAAAACCCAGAUCCAUUUGAUCAAAAAUCGCACAAGGGGCAGAGGGGUUGUGGUGAGGUGGGUGAUUUUGUGGUGUCAGGGAUGGACCUGGGGUUUGGGGGAAGAGAGAGAGAGUGUGUGAUGGUUGUGGGGUGGUGGCUGUGGGAGGGUGAGUUGUUGAGAGAGAGAUGGAGAUUGCGAUGGAUAAAGGGGUGGUCGUGGGUUUAAGGGUGUGUUGUGAAAAGGAAGGCAGCGACGGUGGGAAGGGGGGAUGGGUUGCGAAUUAGUCUUGGGGUGAGUUGCAGGUGGGAAAUGGGUAGUCAGGUUGGGGAAGAAAAAGAGAGAAGGGAGGGGGGUUCUGUGGGUAGGAUAGGUUUUUGUUUUGUUCCUUUUUUUUAUAAUUUUUUCUAAAAAUAUAAAUUUUAUUUUAAUAAUUUAACUGAAAAUUGGAUGCAAUGUUGAUGAUUUAGACGGUAGGGAGAAAAUUGGAGAAAAAAAAAUUUUAUAUUUUUAAUUUUCUAAAAAAAAAAUGAUAGGGGGUCAAUUGAAACCAAGGUAUAAGUCAAGGGACAAAUCACUAGUAUACCAUAAAUAUUUCACUACAUAAAUGAAAUAAACAGAAGAUUUCUAGAAUUUACACGUGCUCUUACAGAAAUUUCAUUAAGUAUUUGGUGUGCAAAUGAAUUUUUAUUAAUUUACUAGAGUCACCCUGAAAAUAAAAUAAUUAUCAGAAUAUAACUCAAAUUUAAAUCUCCUUUUUUUCUAUUAAAAACAACUAAUCCUCCUCGUAAAAAUAUUUACUCUCCUCAUUGUUUUUCGGUUGGAUCCUCCACUUACAUUAUAAUUGUAAUUUAUGCUAAUAGGGUCUAGUUCAGUUAAAAAAUACUUUGAUUUGCAAACUAUUGGUCUCAAGUUUGAAUCAUAUAGCACCGUGAUAGGUCUAUAUGAGAAACCCCACUCUCUAUAGUUUGGACAAAAAUUAUUGAUAUUUGAUCUAUCCUUUCAGAUGUACUUGACUCUUUCCAAACUAUUUGCACUUGUGAAAGGACACGAACUGCAAACAUCACUUCGUUUUACCAAAGCCAAAAAACGUCUUCAACCACCACGCGUAUAUAUCCUUCAAAACAAAUAAAAUAAUUGCCCUGCAAACGCAACUUGAUUUUAACCGCUGCCAUCUUCCCUCAUUUGUUCCUCUCUUCUCCCUCAUCAUCUCCACCUUUCUCCCAUCCAUUAUAAAUCCUUAAAUUCAGUAACUUAUAAUUAGUACUGGGAAUUUUGCUUCACAUAUUGGAUUGAUUCAAGACCAAGGAAACUUAGCAUCACAAGGUACGGCUUUCUUUCUCUAUCUUUAAAUUGUUAUAAACUUCGUCUGGGUAAAAUUAAGUUGUCAAAAUCAGUAAUUUGGUGAACGGUUAUAAAAUCCAAGUCUUGCAAAUUGUCUCUUUGAUUUGUCCUCUUGAAGCUUCUUAUUUGAUUAAUUAUACCAAGUGAGUAAUCUAUUUGGAGAGUGUCUUACAAGUAUGUUUGUAGCAACAAAUACCCUGCAAUACUGCAUUUAAGAACAAACUACCUACUGCCAACGGGGUCUAGCCUAGUGGUAAAGGGCCUUGACUUGCAGAUCAGAGGUUUCAGGUUCAAAUCUCACGGCAUCAUAGUAGUGUGUGUGUGAGAAAUCCCCCACCCCUGUAGUUUAGACCAUCACUUGUACUAAAAAAAAAAAAAAACUAUUGAACAAACUACCUACUACAUUUUAUUUCUAAUUUCUUGUUAGACUUUUUAUAGCUUUGGCCGAUCACUCUUUUUUUUUUCUUUUUUUUUUGGUUGUGAAAUUAGUAAAAUAGUAUUUUUAAAUUGAGGAAUUAACAAUUUUAAUUCGGUCUAUAGAUUAUAUUAAAAAAAAUGAUGUUCUAACAUGUUAUAUAUUGCUAGACUACGAACCACGAGUAUUCUCUUUCACUGAAUAAUCGGUGAAAAUUUCCCUAACAUAUCCAUCUUGAACUUUGUAUUCUCUCUUUCAGGAAGAGUUAUGCAUGGCUUCUUUGUGGUGCAAAAAGUCUCCAGAUUGCAGUAAAAUUCGUGGAUACAUCCUGCUUUUUGUUAUAGUGGUGAGUCUAGCAACAGUCAUCGGAUUUUCUCUCUGGUUCUUAGGCAACUAUGUGGAUUCAAAGUCCGGCCCAGGAACAGACCCCCUUGUGCUUCGUUUGGAUGCAUUUUCUCUAUCGAAUUUCGAGGUUUCGAAUUCAUCAUUCUCAGCUGAAUGGGAGGCCAAGUUGACAUUUGGGAACCAAAACGGUGGCCUAACUGUUACCCUCAACCCCUUUGAGAGUUAUGUGUUCUAUAAAGAACGUGAGGCUCUAUCAUGUGCUUCUGUGGAUGCAAUGUUGCAUGUUCCUCCAAGGAAACAGAAAACUCUGCAGAUCAAAUUUGAUCCGACAAGUUGCGGAGGAGAACAGCCGUAUGUGGAGGAUCGAGUGAUGAAGGAGUUGAGUGAAGAUCGAAAGAGUGGUCACCUUAGCUUUAGUUUGAAAAUGCGCAUAGAUGCUUCUUAUAGUAUGAGGGAGCUUUUGGGAAUGGGAACCCAAGUGACUUUAAAUCCUAACUGUUCAGGGUUGAAGGUUCAGUUUGAGGGUGCAAAAGGGGAGGGAAAGAUAAAUGGGGGCCGCAAGUGCACCAUUCCAUUACCUAAAUGAUCAUGCAAUUCUUACCGUAGGUAAGGGCCGGCUCUGAAAUUUUAAGGGAUUAUAGCAGGCGAAGAUAAGCUCAUGAAAUAGGAUUAAUGUAAAUUUCGUAUAGAUAAGUUGUUUAUUUCAAAAAAAUUGAGUCCUUUUUACUUGGGCCAGAGCACUUGAAAAAAGUAGGCAAAGCCCAACUUGUGAGAAAUUCUUGUGAUUUAAAAGUAGCAGGUUUUGCUAUAUAAGGAAUUAUUAACUCAACAAGUAACGGAUGUCACGUAAAAGGAAAUCAAAUCAAUGUGAUUUAAUUUUCUGGUUUUCUUCUCAUUUUAAAUUUUAAGCACCCUUGCAUUAAAUCAUUGAGUUUAUGCCAAAGGAUGCCAAUUAGCAUUAACACUGAGCUUAUCCAUUUUUGACCUCCAUGAAUUAAUGACAUAAAUUUUUUGAACCAAAAUGUGCACUGAUUCUCUGAAUUUGACUGCCAUUUCAAUAUUAGUUUUUCCCAAUACUCUCCCAUUCACACCUUAACUCAUUGCAGAAAAACAAAAAUGGGCCCUUUGUGGUCUCGUCGCCACAAGGCACUGGCGGAAGAAAUGUCCUUGAAAUUGGCUGCUGCUACAAUCCUCAUCACAUUACUUGCAUUUGUCACCACCGUAUGCUUGUCGUUGAACGGCGGCGUUCGAACAUAUCCCAUUGCCAUUGCUCAGCACUCUUUCUCUGUCUCAAACACAACGAAACUCGUCUCUGAACUGCAGAGCGCUGUUUGGGAUGCAGAGUUGAAGUUCAGCCAGAACAGUGAUCUGCAAGUUCACAUCAAACACUUUCAGGGCUUCGUGUACUACCCGAAAUUCGAACCGCUGUGGUGUGCCUCACUGAAGCCAGUGGACGUUGAGUUCAGGAGCCCAAAUGGGCUGCACAUAAGAUUUGAUAUGAGAGAGUGUGGGGAGGAAGGGCUCGGGGUUUCGACAGAGGAAGCUCUGAAGGAGGUUCGUUUGGAAAUGAAAAUGGACCUGGUUGUGCCUUACCAGUUUGGAAAGACCAGAAUUUGGGCCUGGCUUUGGGGAUUGAGUGUUGAAGAAUCUUGUUCUGAGUUGAGAGUUGAAUUUGUGUCUUCGGUUGGAGAGGGGAAACUGAUUGGUGAGGGAGGAUGGUGCUUUGUUCCAUUGCCUGAGUAAUUUUGAGUUAUGAUCAACUCAUGCCAAUCUAAAUAAUCUUUGUUUUUGCUUCCCCUUUUAUUUAAUUUUGUUUUGUUUCUCCUCUAAAUUAUUACCUCACAGAAUUAGGCAUCAAGCAGACAGACACAAAGAAGAGAGUUUGAGUCUCCACUCUCCUCUCUUUUUUUUUUAAUACGCAGAAAAGAAAAAUAUGAAACUGACAGGAUCACCCUCCAUUCAUACUGAAGGAGACGAGGUUACGUGACUUUGCAGUUUUCAUAGUGAAGUUUGAAAAGGGUCAAAUAAUGCCAAGAUUUUGUCACUUUCUUCGUUUCAAUGUUAAAUGUCCUCGAUUAUCACAAUCAUGAUUCAUCACGCCUCGUUUACUUCUUUAGCUUUUAUUUCCAUGUUCGAUUAAUUUCUUAAUCCCUUCAUUUUCUCCCUUGAUUGUUUCCUUUAAAUAUUCUAGUUUACCAUUUUUAGUAUAAUUCUCUUGUAUUUUUAGUUUUCCGUGUUGGAUUAAUUUCUUGUAUAAAUACUGAAUUCUGCUCCCAGUAGCGCUAUGGGCACCAACUUUUUUUAUCAAUUUUUUGAUACCAACUUAUGUAGCAACUGACAUGGCAAUUCAAGUCAUUUGCCACCUCAUCUAUUUUAUUUGAAUAAUUUAAAUUAAUGCACAUAAUCUAUUUUAAAUUAAUUUAUUUAACUUUUAUAUAUUUAUCUCUUCUCAAGUCAUCUCCAUCAUCCAUUCCCAGCCAACAGCUCCUCCAUCGUAGCACCGCCACGAUCAUGAUGAUAGCAAAUUGAUGGUUACGUUUAUAGAUGAUAAGAUGAUGCUCAUCUCUGAUUUUGGGUUUUGGACAUUUAUGGUUCCUGGAUUUGGUUGAGAGUAUGGCGAGGAAGAAGAAUCAAAGGAGAGUAAAGGCAUGAGCAUAUAUAUAUAUAUAUAUAUAUAUAUAUAUAUAUAUAGUUCUGAUCUUUUGGACCACAGGAGUCCAAGAAAUUUGUGGUCACUCACCGUUGGAUGUAAAUUCAACGGUUCACUCACUCUUGCACUCAUUUUAAAAAACUUUUUUCAACCAUUGGAUUAAUAUCCAACGGUAGAUAACCACAAUCUCUUAGACUCCUGUGGUCCAAGAAAUCAUCGGGACUAUAUAUAUAUAUAUAUAUAUAUAUAUGAAUAGAGUUGGUGAAUCAUAGGAUCUUAUAUGCAGUCUCACACCGAUCACAUCCCAUAUAUUUGGUUUUUCUUUGGAUGAUAAUCACUGGUUUUCUUUGAACUUGGCUGGAAAACUAUUAUUGCUUUGUUGAUUAUUAAUAUUAUUGUAAAUUCUACAAAACAACUAAUUACGUUGAUACUAUGAUUGGUAUGAAAACAUUGAGGAUUUAACAAAUCAGUUAAGAGAGGUGUGAUGAGAGCUCUUCAAUGGAAGGAAUGAUUAUUGAGUUUCUAGGGCUUUUUUGGGGUUGGGGAAGGGUUCACCGUUGAACCAAAACUUAUGGGUAUUUUUCUUUCUUUUUAUUUUGUUGGACAAUUUCUCUUUCUUUUCUUUUUUUUCUUUUUUCUUUGUUCAGGAACAAAAUGUGUAAUUAAAAAAAAUGACAUGGCAAAUGACAAGGAUUGCAAUCUCAUGUACUACAUCUAUUGGAGAAAUUAUAGAAUGCUAUUGUAUUACCAUGUCAGCUAAUUAUACUUCCAUUCAAAAUAUGUCAUACGUCAUUUUAAAAAAAGUAUAAUUUUUUGUUUUACAGCUGGACUUUUGCCCUCUAGAAUAAUAUUUGAAAAAACAAAAAAACCAAAGACGCCGGAAACCAACUCCCACGACAACUCAAAUCUUCCUACCUUGCACUACCAACCACCCAACCCAAUCGCCCAAGGGUUUUGAUUGGCCACCUGGUUAAUCUAAAACAAGAACCACAUAAAGAAAUAACUGGAAAUAACAAUAACUGAUUAUUCCCUUUGUGGUUUCUGUACAAAUGAUUAUCAACAAACCAAAAAAAUAAAAUAACCAGCACACUAUAGAAACCUGUCGAGUCCCUAAACGAGCUUCAUAAUCCAUGGACUAUUGGGUUGGUGGAAGAAGUGCGAGGAUGGGGAUUGGGUUGUGGUGGGAGGUGGUUUCGAGUGGCUUCUUUGGGUUUUUCCUUUUCUAAAUUUUUUUAAUAAAAAAGUCUUAUUCUACAGUUAAAAGAAAGUAUUAAAUUCAGCUGUAAAAAAAAUUAUAAUUUUUUAAAAAAACAUGAUAUAUAGCAUAUUUUGAAUGAAAGUACCGCUAGCUGACGUGAUAGUACAGUAUCAUUCUAUAAUUCUCCAUGUGUUGGUAUCAAUUAAUUGGUAAACAAGUUAGUGCCCGUAGCAUUAUUGUUUUGCUCCUUUCAAUUAGGGAUGAGCAUUGGUGGAUCGAACAGGUUUGGACGUUACACAUCAUGUGAAUCGGAUUUAUAACCACCGAUACAUCGACAAGUCCAACUCAGUUGAUUUGCGGGUUGGGUCAGGCAGGCACCGCAAGUUGGAGGAAGGUGAAACUUGCACAGAGCCAAAUAGAUGAAGCCUUGAAGAUGGAACUUUGAACUUGGUUGGUAGGUGGCUAUGGCGGGGCGACAACUAUAUCAAGAGACAAUUUCAUAUUUGGGAGUGAGGGAAUGAGGGCCACGUCAUGUUCAUGUAUGUAACUUGCAAAAAAAUUGUACAAUUUUCCAUGGGAAAAUUAUGCUCUCCCCACGUAGCUUCUCCUCUAAUAGUUGAGGAUGAAGGAGAUAAGCAAUCAGACAAUGGGAAAAUUUUCAAGUAUGGUGUUUCGGGCAGAGGCACUCAGAAAACACACCUAAGUAUUCCCCUAAAUAAACUCAUGCUUGCAACACAUGAUCUUUAAUGUGUGCCAUUGUUCGUGGCCAUGAAGAUUGACAUGGGGGUGCUAAUAUGCCAAUUUUGCUAGCUAUAAUCCUUUUGUCUUCAUCACUUAUUUCCUUAACAUAGAUUACAACUCCUAAUUAAUUACCUUGUCCUACGCUCUUUCCGCGGCUUUUCACAGCACACCCACCUAUUUUUACACUCUCAUUUCCUUCAAUAAUUAAUCUCCCUCCAAUACACAUUUUAAUCCCCUACCCCAAAAACUCCCUCCUUCUCUCUCUCUCUCUCUCUCUCUCUCUCUCUCUCUCUCUCUCUCUCUCUCUCUCUCCCGGAAGAUUCCUGAGAGAGAGAACGAACAUCCCGUAUAUAUAAUUAAUAGCAGCACAUAUGGCUUCCACAACCGAAACUAAUCAACCCCGCUCCUCCGACCAACCCGCAACACAAUCAUCAGAAGCCCACCAACCUCGAGCCCCCAUUGACCCCUACCCCCCGCCCGCCGGGGGCACCUAUCCGCCAUCCAACAUGAGCUACGCGCACCCACAAGGAUACCCCACCGUAGCGCCCCCCUACCACGGGUACCACCCGAGCGCCUACAACCCUUAUUACGGGGACCCCUACUACACCACCACCUCCUACAACCAAGCUGACGAGGCCGCCAGCAGCUGCUUCCGGUGCUUCUGCAUCAUCAUGUUCCUCCUCGUCAUCUUCACCCUCCUUGCCAGCAUCGUCAUGUUUGUCGUGGUCCGCCCGGAAACCCCGGCCUUCAAGGUCGAGUCCUUUAGCGUCUCCAACUUCAACCUCGUCCCAGGGAGCAAAGUGCUCUCCGGGAAAUGGGAGGCCUCCAUCUACGUGGACAACCCCAGCUACAGGAUGAAGUUGGAGAUAGACAGGUGGGAGACCUCCCUGUACCACAAGGACAACUAUCUCGCGAUGGGCUCCGUCAUGCACUCCAUGAAUCUCGAAUCUCGGUCAAAAGGCACGAUGCACAUGAAGAUGGAGACGUACAAUACAACGGCGAGCAGCGCGGUAGAGGACAUGGAGAAGGAGCAGAAGGAGGGCGGGAACGUGAGCUUCAAUUUGAGGUUGACGCUUUCGUACGACAUGAAAGCCAGUGGUUUUUUGUAUAAUCACUAUAGUAACUACAGAAGUGGGACCCUCCGGGUGAAAUGCUCGGAUUUGAAGGUGCCGCUGCCGGCGGGGUCAAAUACUGGCAGCAUGCCCAGUGGGAGCUCGAAGGCAUGCGAUAUCUCCGAUGGUUUCUGAUUAUUUAGUCAUAGACGAGAAAUGGGUCGGAUAUUUUUUGUAUGGUCUCUCGGUCUCAUUUACUUUCUUCCCAUGUCUCCUCCAUAUGUGGGAAUUGUGUAUUUGGCUAACUUAUAUUAGACGAAGUCAUAUGUUCAUAAUUUUAGAAACCCUUAAAUCUGUUAAUUUUAUUGUAGAAAAUUCUUUAGACUAUUGUUUCUAGGAUUUCUUGUGCUUUGUUUAAUUUUAAUUUUGUUAUAACUAUAUAGUGACACAUAAUGACUAACUCGGGAUCUGACCGUAUUUCUCUUUUCAGUAUUAAAAGGCAUUAGUCAUAUUAUUUCAUGUUUGUAUCGAAUUACACAAUACUAACCGAAGUUAUAGAAGAUUCUUAAUCCAUUCAUUAAUCAUGUAUGGUUAACUAAAUGCAAAAUUUCUCAACUUUAACAUAAGUUACUCAUUCUUUGAUAAAAACAUAUAUAUAGUUUAUAUUCAAUUGAAUAUGUUUGGAUAAAUUUUAGCUUUCGUUAUUGACCAAUGAUAUGGAGAACACUGCACAAUGUGAUCCGCGAUCGUCCCUUCAUGUCUAUUGUUUUUGAGGCACUUUGCAAAUAAGUCUCUCCAAAUUCUAUUUCAUAAUCAAAUUUGAACUAAAAAAAUAAACCUUUAGACCCGACUUUUAUUGAAUCUAAUAAUACCAAUUGAUAGGUCAACAGCGUUUAGCUCACUGAAAAAGUGAUAUUGACAGGAGAAUAAUUAUGUAGUUUAGACUAUUCAGUCCUGAUCUCUCAGACCACAAGAGUCCAAGAAAUUGUGGUCACCCACCGUUGAAUAUUAAUCCAAUGGUUCAAAAAAGUUUCUUAAAAUGAGUACAAGAGUGAGUGAACCGUUAAAUUUACAUCCAACGAUGAAUGACCAUAAAUCUCUUGGACCCCUGUAGUCCAAGAGAUCAGAACUGCUAGACUAUUAUCACCAACAUUAGGAUGUGUAUUGCACUAAUUGUGUUUUUUCUUCGUGAAAAAGCUCCAUUAAACGAGUUGACAAAACAUCUAUAAAAAGUGUUAGGCUCAACAUUAUGCUUAAAGCAAAGGCCACCAAAAAAAAAAUAACGAAGUAGGAGUCCAACAAACACGCAUAUGUCCAUUUGGGCUUUAUCGAUUCAAAUACGCGGAGCGGGUAACCGCGAACCCGAACCCGCUUCGCAUAAGAAACAGAUAGGGACAAUGACGAGCCGACAAGUGUCACCACCGUAGAAGGCGGGGAGAGAUUCCUCAGUGCGGCGCUUCAACUUAAGUCUACGCCCUCUGCCAAACAAAAAAGAAUACAAAAAGAAAAAACAUAGAAUUACGCGUUAUUUGCCAAGCAAUUCUAUCAACAAUCAAACUGUAGCCCUCAAGCAACUUUGUGCUCUCAGAAAUUUUUUUUUUUUUUUUGUGGUAAUUUUUUUUCGCAUAGUAUAUCUAUCGUAUCGACCGACCAAACACCUCCUCCUCUACCUCUACGCCUACCUUUUAUUUUUUCCUUACCUCUCUGUCUCUUGGAAACCAAAAACUCAAUUAGCUCUCUCCGCUCUCAAAUGGCUACCUCAGCUGCCGGCGCCGAUGAUGGUCGUAACAAGACGGUGACCGGCUACCCAGUUGAGCAGGGUCAAUUCGCAGCCGGCUACCCAGCCGCCGGAGCCUACCCCUACGUGGCCCCACCGCCGCCUCCUCACGCCAACACUUACCGGCCCAUGGGCCCACCUCCUUACUACGCCCCUCGGCCCACUGGGCCCAUCACGCCCAAUAGGCCCACCCUCCUCUGCCGCCUCCUCAUUGCCGCCAUCGCCGUCUUCGCCAUCAUGUCCCUCGUCUUCUUCAUCGCCUGGCUUGCACUCCGCCCCCGCCUCCCCGAGUUCCGGGUCGAAUCGGCCUCCGUCUUCCCGCUCAACGCCACUGGCUCCGAGCUCACCGCCACCUGGGACCUCACCCUCCUUGCCAACAACCCCAACCACAAGCUCAGAAUUUACUACGACAGCAUCCAGGCCUCACUAUUCUACGGCGACGAUUACCGGCUCGCCACGACGUCGUUGCCUCCCUUUGUUUUGACCAAGAGGAACCAGACGCGUGUCGGGUUCAAGCUGGCGACGGUGGGGGAGUACGUCGGCAAUUACGUGGCCAAGGGGAUCUCCGACGAGAGGGAUCGUGGGUCGGUGAGGUUCGGGCUAGGAGUUUUUGCUUCGGUUCGGUUUAGGUCUGGAGUGUUCCAGUCGAGGCCUCGCGUGUUGCGGGUCUUCUGCGAAAGGGUCGAUUUCGGGUUUGCCCAGAAGAAUGGGACGGGGACUUUGACGGGUCAGUCAAGUCCGUGUGUGGUUGACGUGUGACUGUGAGUAUAAUUAGUCCAUUGGAUUAACACAAAUUGGUAAAUGCUAUAUUUAGUCGUUGUUCAUGAUUUUGGGUUAUGGAAUAUAAUUCGUGAUCUUCUGAAUCCAAUUUCUCUCUGUUCUUUUAUGCUAGCUAAUGAUAGUAUAUUUUUUUUCAAUUAUUUUAUUAUGAUUUCUACUAGUUUUCUUUGUUUUGGAGGUAAAUACCAUUUUCCCCGUUUUGCAUAUGCUAAUUGGCAUUUGAAGUGUUGAGAUGGGUUAGAUGAUAAUAUGGGACAUUGCCACAUUAGGUUUUGUAUUUGUGUUAGAAUAAAGAGCAAUGUGAUUGUUUUUAGUGUUCUGGGGCUUUGUCAUUGUGAUUCAAACUCCAGAGCCAGAGACUGUAGGGUAUUGAGUGUUGCUUGGUGAAGCUUUAAUCGAGUGUUGACUCAUUUGGUAGAGAUGCAUAAAUGCAUUCUGAAUGGAUUAUAGGGUUUUCCCUCCACCCUUGAAUGCCACUUACCACACAGUCACAAGGAAAAAAGUAAGUGCGCACCAACCGUAGUUGUCUCCAAGCAUAACAUUUGAAGAAACUCAUCCCUAUUGUUUGUUAAUGAUAUCAAACCAUUGUUCGUGCCUUCAAAGAUUAUGCGCUUGAGAAGAAUGGUAAAGACUUUAUUUAAGCAUUGGAUUUGUGGUAGUGGCUACUAAGCCUCUCUGUUAGGAUGUCUGUUUUAUUGUGCUUAAUGCUGGUUGUAAGUCUAGGGUUGUGAUUCAAGCUGUUGUCUUGUGAUUCAAGUCAAUAGUAUUGGAACAGUACAAGAUUUUCCUGGGGAAGGGGAGCUUGGUCUACUAGGAACUAGCAAGUAGUGUGAUUUUACCUAUGUAUUGAGAAAUUGUUUAUUGUUUUGCUCUCGAAGAAUUAAAACGAAUCUCUCUACUUACUUCAUCAUCGUAGAGAUCAAUUCUUUUUAUAGGAGUUUGGUGUUAUUUGUUCUCUCUCUCUCUCUCCGCCCAUAGGAUAACAUCAUAAUGUUUAUCUUUUCAGACUCUGAAUUUGUGCUCAUGUAAAUGUGGUGUUGAAUGUUUGCUUGUAAUGGUCGAAUUGUGCUUUAGGCACUACUGUACGAGUAACGAUUAAGAGGAGUGGCUAGGUAAAGACUGUAGUUGCAGUUAAUUUGACUUCCAAACCAUUUCUACUACAAUGUUAAGUUUCAUAGUAGGUUAUGAUUUGGGUUCAGUUGAUAUAUGAUAAUAAUAGAACUGUUGUCAAAUGUAAAGUCAUUCUCUUUCUGAUUUUGUAGCUGUUGUCAAAUGUAAAGUCAUUCUCUUUCUGAUUUUGUAUUUACUCCUUUCCUGGCUGCUUUCCAUUUAGGUUUUUUCCUUUGAAACUCAGCUGCAUGUCUUCUUGUAGGAGAAAAAACACCAAACUUUUGUUCUGGCAACAUUUUAAUUACGUCAUACUGUAUUGCAUGUUUUCUGCUCCAUUUUAACUGUGUCAAUAUGCUGUUAAGUUGGCCAAACAGGGAACUUUUUAUGUUUGCUCUGUACUACUACGUCAAAGCUUGCCUGUAUUAGCUUUCACACUUUCAGUAUAGUUCUGAGCUGAUGUAGUUGCAUUGUUAUUGUUGAAGUUUUGAUUUUGAAAAAUUCAGAAUUUUGGGCUCAGAAGCCAUGCGAGGUUGGAGAUUAGAAAAGGGGCAUUGCUCGUCUUGCCCAAUGCGUUGAUGUUACUUGUUUUUAAUACUUAAGAGAAGCAAUUAUGUGCUUCUGAAGUCUCUUAUCAUACUUGAAUUUUAGUACUGGUUUUAAACUAUUAAUCUAGUGAUGCCAAACACUGUCCUUUUGUCCUUGAUGCUGAAGUGGUUUUAGUUUUACUUUGAUUUUGAUGAUUUCAUUUCUGAUGUUUAUAGGUGUUAGAGGUUAAUGUGUGUUGAGAUUGUUUUUCUGCUCUUUUAUUUUCUGUUUGUGGUUGAAACUUGAAACAUAGAAUCAGUUUCCAAAAAAUUGAAUUCAGUAUUUCAGGUUGGUACUGUAGUUCCUAUGAUUGGUGACAUAGUUGUAGCUCAACAGGUAGUUCAUAUUUUCCUAAUUUUAAAAGAACUUUUUAUUUUAAAGGUCCUUUUAGUGACAUUUUUGUUUUUUACUUUUAAGCUUUUCUUUAACGAGGUAGAGGGGGAGAGGUGGACGGUUCUUAGGAGAAAGGUGAGGGAAAAAGGAGAGAAAAAAUACUUCAAAAGUUCUAAAAAGUAAAAAAGCAAUUUAAAUGGCUUUUAGCCUGUUACUUUUAAUUCUCUCUACUUCUCCUGUCUUGUUCAUCUCUUUCAUCUCCUCCAUCACUUUAAUUUUCUAUAAAAGCUGUUAUCAGGGAUGCCUUCACUCCGCGUUUUUCUUUUGCUGGCAUUUAUGUAGUAGGCUUCAUCUAUUAAAGAGUUAUGAUUAAUCAAGGCAUGAGGCAUCAGUUUCAGUUAGGCGAAAUUAGGUUUUCAACGAAGAAAUAAAGCCUUACAAGUUCCUCGUCAUUACUUGCAUGUACUUUGCUUUUGAACUAUUCCAUCAUCAGUUCAACAAUUGAUUGAUGUGUAGAAUUUGGUCUUGGGUGUAUUGACUUGAGAUAGGUUGAAGAUGUAUUUAGUUGGUCCAUGCUUAGAGCUCUGAUUUGCUGGCUGAAAUGGUUUAACUUUUGGAAAUUUUCCUCUCUAUUUCACCGGUUGUACAGAAUCAUGUGUCUAUUAUGACGUGACACCUUAACGACCCUAAACUCGGACUAGAAAGAGUUCAAUCCCUCCCUCCUAUAUAUAAGUAUUAGCAAUUGUAUAGGUAUCUUUGGUUCCACCGCUUGUUUAAGUAAGGAGGCAGUGGGAUGAAGUGGUUGCUUGGCCGACAGAGCUUUCUGGGGUGGCCUAAAUAACUUUAUGAAAGCCUAUAUAUUAUGCAGAUAGCAUUGGCAAUGGAAUUAUUUAUAAACUAAUAACACUUUGAUUAUAUCUUAUAAACAUGAUAAGAUUCUCAGACACGAUAAUAGUGUACAUAUUUGUAUAUCUCCAGUUGGACAUGAUUAGGACGCUAGUGGAUUGAGAGAGAUUGACAUUGAUUUUUAGUGCAUGUAAAAGUAAUUGUGUAAAUAUCUGGGAUGUUUCUUCUUUUUUUUCUUUUUCUUUUUUUCUGUUUUCUUAUGGGCCCGUGAAGAAACAGCAUUGGAAUGAAAAUUCUGUGUCCAAAUUAGGAACGCGUGAGGGAUGAGACAUGGUUGCCCUUUGUCAUUUUCUACUGCUGAUUAGGACAAUCAGAAUGUGGAGGGAGCUAUUUGAUUGAUGAUUGAACAUAAGAAACUAAUCAAAUUAUCUGUUGUGAAGUUUAAUAAAAGAAGAGACACAAAUCUACAAGUCUCACGCAAUGAAAGCUAAAUCCAGAUUUAUUUUUGUAAGAAAACAAAGUCGUCCUACUAGCAAUUGACUGAUUUCACUUGACCAAAAGGUUGGGAUAGCAAUUUUUCCCGUCACACCCAAUCUCCACAUUGAUCUGUCCCGAAUGGGAUGGGGAUUGAGGCUUCUGCCCUUUCUCCAUCCCAUUCCGUUUUACAACUAUCAUGUUAAAGAAUGAUAAUUGUUUUGUUGACUCUUAAAUUUAAGCUUUUAUGAAUGGGAUGUGGAAUUCGAAUCUCAAUGAAGAAGACGAUAUCCAAUAGGGUUUGAGGCGGGAUUGUGGAUAUUUAACUUUUAUGGGGAUGGGGAUGAGUGUGAAAUAAUUGUUUCUUCGAGUAAAUUUUGUUAGGGGUAUAACUUACCACGAAGCUACAAACCCAACAUUAUUGCAUAUGUUUCUUCCUUUGCAGGCGAAAUAGUCCUCUGGGAGGGUGCAAAGGAUAGGAAGCUUCUCACUGGCCAUGUGACGGCAUGUGGAAAAUACGUAACAAAAGGCUUUACUUGGUGGCGUUUACACCUACGCCAUUAUUAUUAUUAGGCACCAUUUUAUAUUUAUAUUCAAAACUCAAAGCAGUGCAUGAACUGAUGCAAAAAAACAAAAACAAAAAAGAUUUAGGGGCUUUUAAGAUAUUUCCAUGUUGAGUCGGUUAGCUUGGCAAGUCAGUUUGAUCUUAAGGCUUUUCAUAAUUCAUUCAUAAUGUAGGAAAACACUUAAAAGGAAAGUGAUUGCUUGCAUAAUUACUUAUGAUAAUUUUGAUCUCCAUUUAAAGGAAAGUGCUUGGAUGAUCCCCUUUUUUUUUUCUUCUCAAAACUUGCUUUCAAAGUUCAUUUUCCAUCAUAUUUCAACUCCUUUUCUUCAAGAUACUUCUACCAUCAUACAUCAUAGAUGCAUCCAAAUGACUAUCUAGGGUUCAUUGGCUCAUCAUCACCCACUAUUAGUUUCACUUUUUUAUUAAUAGGGUGAUCAAUUACCCUUCAAACCAAUUCAAGACAGCUUAAUCAACCCAAUUAGAUAGUCAUCAUUUUGUGUCACCAAGAAUAUUAUCCCUUUCUUUCACCUCCAUGUCUUUUCUUCCCCAUUUUUCUUCUCAUUGUUUUUGGAACUCUCCCCUUCUUAGAAUGACCCACCAAUCAAAGGGUUUCUUUCUUCUCUCUCCCCCAAUGCUUUAUUCCACCAACUUUUUGUUUUUGUCUCUUUCAUUAACCCAUGGUUAACAGAAAGAAGCAUAGCCACAGAUUCUAGUCAGAUUUUAGCAGCAAAGCGCAUGAAGACAACAAACGAAUCCAUUGGGUGCAAGUUGCAUAGAACAAUUUUGGCUUUGGGCAUUCAUAUUAACCACAAAGGUUAGGUUAAAAGUUAAUUGUGAUUUACUUAACAGAGAUUUAAACAGGAAAUUGGGAUUUGGUGGUUUCAAAGAAGAUCUUGUAGGGACAUUUGUAAUUCCCAAAGUAGGGAUAAAGAAUCAGCAUGGAUGUCAGUGCAAGUGCAGAAGAGAAUACCUUUGUGUGUGUAGAAUCUAGUAGGCAUUGGCCACAAACCACCCCACCCUUCUUUAUGGACAUUUGGGGAUAUCCUUGGCUUCUUUUUGCGGCUUCCAUGUUUUGUAAAAGUGCUUUUACCCAAGGCAUUUUCUUCUUGUUUUUAUGAGAAAAUUGAGAGAAUCAGCAGCAAAGAAUUUGGUAAAGGGCCCUCUGCAUUCUCUGGAAACUGCACUAAGUGUACUUGGUUUCUUUGGCCACAGUACAUAAGAGAUGCAACAAGAGGAAAAGAAAACAAUCAAAUAAGUUCUACAGCACCAAGUACCAAAUAAUUGAACUCCAACAUGUCUAUGAGUAAGGCUCCAAUGAUUCAAAUUUUGGGUUUGGUCGUACCCAAAUAGUAAUAUUCUAAAGGAAAAUGCAACUAAGAUCAAAUAUUUCGAGCCGCUUCCGUGAAAAAUUCAAACUUUCUUUUUUAAUACUUCAAUCACAUAAAAAUAUAAACUUUGAGAUUCAAUAGCUAAAUACAUGGCAAUUGAAUCAUGAGCCGAGAUCAUAAAGAGCAUACAAGUAUACAAAGUGGAUGUCAUUGUAGGUGUCAAAUGAGUGAAGAAGAAGAAAAGAGUCAUGUGCUUUUAGGUGUGCCAACUAAUAUUAUCUUUCCAUGGUUUGAUCUCAAGUCUCAUAUCUGGAUGUGGUUUUCUUCUCUUUGGAUUUAUAUAUGACAAUAUAUAUAUAUAUAUAUAUUUAUAUUUAUAUAUAUUUUAAAAAAACAUUUAAAACACCCAAAUUUAUACACCAGUCAUAUUUUAUACUGUAUUUCUUUUUUCUAAUAUUAUAACACUUAAAGAAAACCCAAGUAAAUGACAAAUAGUGUAUCAUAUCCACCCACCAUCUAAUAAUGCUAAAUUAGUAGAAAGUUAAGUCUUUUUUUAGCAGUGUUUCUUUCAUUUGAUCCAAGACUUUUCUACAAGAGGCCUAUGUCAGAAUUAGUUAUUUGAUUUCAUAAGACUCUGCCAGAAUUUGACUCAGCAACAACCAAUUUCUAACCAUGUGUCUUCAAGCCAAGAAAUAAGACAAAGUAGGCCCUUCUGAAGAUUUCAACUUUUGUGAAUUGCUUAACUUUGAGCAAAUUGAUGGUGCAUAGAAGAAAUUUGAUUCCCUAUAUUUUUUUCUUCUCACUUGCUAAUAUCCAGUCAUUCGGUUGCAAACGACAAUGACUUUCAUUAAAUGAAAAUUGUUUCAUAGGAAAACAUCCAAAUGGUUAAGAACUUAAAGAAAGUUGAUGUUUGAAGUAUAUUUUAGAGAGGGGAUAAGGAGAACAACACUUUCAGAAACAAUGAAGGAAGAGAAAAUUUUAUAUAUUGAUUAAGAUUAUCGACCUGAUAACGAGAGAUUCACCUUAAUCAGCGACUCAUUGUCCGUACACAUAUCAAUAAUUUUCAUGUAACGUAAUCUUGUUCGGCAAGCUUCUAUCACCAUUUGAGAGAGAGAGAGAGAAAAAAAAUUGUAUAAAAUUAAGAGGUAGAUAAAAAUUGGUCAUAGGUUUGGUCAUUGGUGGUUGAGGAGACUUUUAGAGCUCGAUGUCGAUACUAAAUGUGUGAAAAAACACAUCAUGGUCUUGUAGUUCAUAUUCACACUUGCCAACCGACAUAAUCAAUUUCUAGUUUCUACCAUCAAUAAUGUAUUGGAGUGUAGUUUGGUUUGGUGCUUUUAACUAAAAUUAGUACAUGUAUUGAAAUUAUUGCUCUCUUUUUUUGUUGCCCACGUACCCUUUUACCAUCUGCUGGGAAAGUGCAGUGCAGCUAACCCUACUUUUCCUUGAUUAAAAAAUUAUUUUUAUAAAAUAAAUAAAUAAAUAAAAAAACCGUUCUCAAUGUUGUUUUCUAAGUAACAUUUUAGGAUUUUUAAAAAGCAAAACAAAAUAAUUAAAGAAACAAAACUGAUGAAAGAAAGGCUAACAAUUUUCUUUCUGGGAAAGCAAUGGGUUCUUUAUGAAAAAGGGUUUAAGCUUUUAAUCCACCCAAACAAAGUCUUUGUUUCUAAUUCAUCAGAGGUUAUGAAAUUUUCAAUACAUCCACAUCCAAAUCAUGUUUUUUUUUUUCCUUUUUUUUUUCUUUUUUUUUUUCCUUCUAUGUUGCAUCAUUGUUAGGCUUUAGGCUUUAGGCUUUAGCUGGUGGGAGAAGUAAUAUUUUGGAACCCAGAGGUUUCCUCUGUCAUGAUAAGUGGGGCCAAGUGGGUGCAAGAGACGUGUCAAUUAGACUUUUCCCAUGUAUCCAUAUUCAAUCGGACGGUGGUGAAGAGUCUUGCUUUUCCAAACACUUUAUUGAAGUCACAAUCGGCCCAUUCACAUUCUAAAUUCUAGUAUAGAAAGAAAUUUUAAAAAAUAUGUUAUUUUCUUUAGGCUUUUUGUCUUUCUGAGUUGAUUAAGAAAAAGCAGUGAGCUUCACUUUUUGACUAAGCGAGCACAACACAACUGAGGGUCAUGGAUUAAUACAAUCGUACUCAUUAAAACUCAUUUAUAUUGUUUUUUUAUAUAAAUGAUAUUCUAUUUUAAUUUAUUUUAAACUACAUAGAGGGGUAUUCAAACUCGGAUGUAAACACUGAAAUUCACUUACAUUAACAAUGAAGAUCGAUGGCAGACAAUAUUAAUGAUAUUUUAUUACAUAUAUAACUAUAUAUCUUGAAGCUAAUGCCAAUAGCGUAUUACUUGGAUCUGGUUUUGAAAAGAAUUAGGGUUUGAGCAACAAGAUCUUUCUUAGUGACUUGAGCCUCUAUAGUUUAUUGAAUGGACUUUAAUUUUGAUUAGUUGUAAAAUAAAGAAGAUUAAUAACUUGUUUUGAAACACUGAAACACAUGAGGUUUUUGAGGAGAAUUAUGAAGAAAAGAUAUGAACCAACCAUUGAGAUAACAUGUGGGUGAGCUCGACAAACAAUUUGAAAUCCUGUUUGUUGAAUAAAGCCAAGCAUAGAAAACGAUUGGUCUUAACCCAUCACACCAUAUGGGCAUCUUAACUAGGACACAUCAUGCAGUGAACAAAAACCCAACAAAUUUCAUCUAAGUUAUUUAGAUCAAAUCAUAUAAAUAAUAAACCCAAUUAGUAGCUAUAAUUGAUGAGCCUUGUCAAGUGACACAUGAUGACAUAAGGUAUUUGUGUAAUUUAAUUGGUUAAUGCCCAUGGUUAUGAUUGAGUAAUAAGAAAAACCAAACAAUGCCUUGGUACUGAAAAUUGAUGGGUCACCAAUUUCCACUACCUUGCUACACUACCACCAAACAACUCAAAAGCAACCAAAAAGUUCUUUAAAAAAUAAAAGUUAUUGGUUAGUGCUGGUUAACGAUUUAUAAUAUUUGGUUCAUUGUCGAUUAUUUGAUUGUUAUUAUAAAUAUUAACUUUAAUAGACAGUUACUCAUAUAAAAAAUAGAAAUUCAGAGUAAUUUUGGAAUGAGACCGUAAUCUAAUAUUAAACAUUUUUUUUACGCGAAUAAAAAACUAAUUUUCCUCAUAAUUAGUGAAAGUACUUUGAAAUGUCCCUAAACACAUUACACCUACUUUAGCAUACUUGCUUUUCCACCAUACAUACAUGAUCACAUAGAUCAUCAUCAUCUUCAUUAAAAACCAUGUAAUAUAUAUACCCCCACACACAUCCCCAACCAAAGCUCAUUUACUAAAGGGUCAACUCUCAAACCCAACUCUAACUCAACUCCAACCGUCCUUCCUCUCUCUCUCUCAGUCUCCCUCUCCACCUCCACCGCAAACUACCGCGGCCGCCGCCAUGUCGUACAAGGACUGCGGCCAACACGGAUACAACAAGCGGCGAAGGAGGUUUAAACGCUGCUGCGCCGGGCUCCUAAUCUUCAACUUCAUCCUGCUCGUCACCAUCCUCAUCGUGUGGGCCAUCCUCCAGCCCUCCAAACCCCGCUUCAUCCUCCAAGACGUCACCGUCUUCAACUUCAACAACUCCGUACCCAACGUCUUCUCCUCCAGCUUCCAGGUCACCGUCUCCUCCCGCAACCCCAACGACAAGAUCGGCAUCUACUACGACAGGCUCAACAUCUACGCGACAUACCGUAAUCAGCAGAUCACCUUCUCCACGCUCAUCCCGCCGGUGUACCAGGGUCACAAGGACGUCAACGU
rnacentral:lncRNA from 1 species